AACCUUAUGGACCUGCGGGCGUAUACCUGCGGAAGGAUCAUUACUGAGUGUAAAAACUCCCAAACCCAUUGUGAACAUACCACUGUUGCUUCGGCGGAUACGCCCCGGGCGCGCUCUUCACAGGGCGUGCCCCGGAACCAGGCGCCCGCCGGGGGACCGAAACUCUUGUUUUCUUAGGAUCUCUGAGUGUGAUUAUUAAAUAAAUCAAAACUUUUAACAACGGAUCUCAGAUCGGAAGAG
rnacentral:misc_RNA from 1 species